UAGCCGUAAACGAUACUCGUUAGGUGUCGGCCACGGUGCGACCGUUGUCGGUGCCGUAGGGAAGCCGUGAAGCGAGCCACCUGGGAAGUACGGUCGCAAGGCUGAAACUUAAAGGAAUUGGCGGGGGGAGCACCACAACGGGUGGAGCUUGCGGUUUAAUUGGACUCAACGCCGGGAAGCUCACCGGAUAAGACAGCGGAAUGAUUGCCGGGCUGAAGACCCUGCAUGACCAGCUGAGAGGUGGUGCAUGGCGUCAGUGACU
rnacentral:rRNA from 1 species